GAUGAACGCUGGCUACAGGCUUAACACAUGCAAGUCGAGGGGAAACGACGGGGAAGCUUGCUUCUCCGGGCGUCGACCGGCGCACGGGUGAGUAACGCGUAUCCAACCUGCCUCUGACUGAGGGAUAACACGCCGGAAUACUGCCUAAUACCUCAUGGCAUCGUCUGCGGGCAUCCAACGACGCUCAAAGAUUUCAUCGGUCAGGGAUGGGGUUGCGUCUGAUUAGCUAGUUGGCAGAGUAACGGCACACCAAGGCGACGUUCAGUAGGGGUUCUGAGAGGAAGCCCCCCCAGAAUGGAGCUGAGGCACGGUCCAAACUCGUACGGGAGGCAGCGGUAAGGAGUAUUGGUCGAUGAGCGAGGGCCUGAACCAGCCAAGUAGCGUGCAGGAUGACGGCCGUAGGGGUGGUAAACUGCUUGUAUGCAAGGAUAAAGUGAGGGACGGGUCGUUCAUUGCAGGUACCGCAUGAAUAAGGACCGGCUAAUUCCGUG
rnacentral:rRNA from 1 species